UACGAAGGGGGCUAGCGUUGCUCGGAAUUACUGGGCGUAAAGGGCGCGUAGGCGGAUGUUUAAGUCAGAGGUGAAAGCCCAGGGCUCAACCUUGGAACUGCCUUUGAUACUGGGCGAUCUUGAGUAUGGGAGAGGUGAGUGGAACUCCGAGUGUAGAGGUGAAAUUCGUAGAUAUUCGGAAGAACACCAACGGCGAAAGCACUCUGCUGGGCCGACACUGACACUGAGAAGACGAAAGCUAGGGGAGC
rnacentral:rRNA from 1 species